ACUCGGCUAGGCGAGUAUAAACAGACAUCAAGCCUAGCGCGUCUAUCCCAUUCCAAAUGGGGUAGGGUUGUA
rnacentral:ribozyme from 1 species